UUGAUUGAUUUAAAGAAUUUAACUUGUAGACUUGAAGAAUUUGGAGACCUCAACUUGCAGACUUGAAGAAUUUGAAGACUUCAACU
rnacentral:pre_miRNA from 1 species